ACCAGGAUGGCCGAGUGGUUAAGGCGUUGGACUUAAGUUCCAAUGUACGAAGGUACGCGUGGGUUCGAACCCCACUCCUGGUA
rfam:Nematostella vectensis strain CH2 x CH6 NEMVEscaffold_350_Cont24646, whole genome shotgun sequence.